UAUAUAUAUAUAUACACAGUUCCUAUCCAGAGUGAAGCUUCACUUUUAAAUUAAAGUGUGAAGUUCCUUAUUUGACCCACUUUUCGGUCAUAUUUCCAUAUGUAUAUAUAUAGAUAUCUAUCUACAGUACUCUAGUGAUUGUCAUUUUUCAUACAAAUGCUGUCUAGUUUUGUAAACUGUUGAUAACUCGCAUAGCUAAAUUGCUGACAUAUAAUAAAAGAAAGAAAUAGAACACACAAAUUUUACAUCAGUUCGCAAAACUGUAAUUAAGGGAUUGGGAGAUUGGAAAUGUGUAUCAUCAUAUCAAUCCUUGCAUAUGAUAGACAUUCUAAUGGUAAUAAAAAAACAUUGGUUCUAUUCUAACUUUGUAACACAGGCAACCUAUAUAUAUCAGGUAGCUUUACAUACUAUCUAUAGUGUUUUUUCUUACAAUACCUGAUCAAGUUUUAUAAAAUCUUUUAUUUUUGUUUUUUAUUUUGCAGCAAGCUUAUUGGAGCUCGGUAUUACUCAUCAACGGAGUCUGCAAGGGAUGACACGGGUCAUGGAACCCACACUUGCCUCAACGGCAGCAGGAAAUGCUACAAGAGAUGUAAGCUUUUAUGGACUAGCACAAGGUACUGCAAGAGGAGGAGUUCCCUCUGCAAGAAUUGCUGCAUACAAAGUCUGUACUGCAGGCACAUUGUGUAGCGCACAUGAUACCUUGGCUGCUUUUGAUGAUGCAAUUGCUGAUGGAGUUGAUAUUAUUACAGCUUCAGUUGCAUUUAGUAUGAUCCAAGAAUUUGAUGUGGAUCCUCUUGCAAUUGGUACUUUUCAUGCGAUGGAGAAAGGGAUACUAACCUCACAUGCUGCAGGCAACAAUGGACCUUCCGGUGCUACUGUAUCAAGUGUAGCACCUUGGGUGCUUACAGUUGCAGCCAGUAGCAUGGACCAGCGGAUCAUUGACAAGGUUGUCCUUGGAAACGAAACCACAGUAAUUGUAAGUUUCAACUUCCUUUAUCCUCAAAAUAAUCUUUUAUCUAUAUUUUCUAUUCUGAUUUCUGUCAUGUACUUUCUAACAGGGGAAUUCUGUGAACUCUUUCACAUUAAAUGGUACAAGUUUUCCUUUGAUACAUGGAAAAGAUGCUUCAAGGAAUUGCACAGGAACAGAAGCAAGGUAAUUAUUGUGCACAUUUCAUUUUAACUGUGAAAUAAAGGAAAUAAUAUGAUGCUAGCUAGAGGACCAAUUUGUUGAUUUGCAGAGAUUGUGAACAAGGUUACCUGGACAGUGAUCUAGUGAAGGGAAGGGUUCUCCUAUGCGAUAGAUACAGACUUCUUGAAGCAUUUCAAUCUGGUGCACUGGGUUCCAUUUUGCCCAAGUUUCGAGUUGUUGAUGAUGCCUCUUAUGUUCUCCCAUUAGCUGGCAUGACUAUAAACAACGAAAACUAUAAUGUAGUGAUGUCCUACAUGAACUCCACCAGGUUGAGAUAAUUUUUGAUACUAAGGUGAUUUUCUCAUGAAGUUUAUAAUUACUUUGUUUAAAUACAAAGGUCUCCUAUUUUAUAGAGAUCCUCGUGUGAACAUAUUAAAAAGUGAAGUCAUCAAAAAUCCUGCUGCACCUGCUGUUGCUUCAUUCUCCGCACGUGGACCAAAUCUAAUUUUACCUGAUAUUAUUAAGGUACUGUGUAUGUUUCAAGGUUCACAUACAGUUAUGUAGGCUUUAAUUAAUAAGCUUUAAUUUUUUUUCCUAAACAGUUUUCUCCUAUUGUGUUUCAGCCAGAUACAAGGCCAUCUCCAGUAAUAGAGGCUAUAGAGCUAAAUCCUAAAUUUUGGCCUUAUUUUGAUCUCCAACAAGAACUUAGAAGAGGGUCAAAGGGCCAUAAAAGGGCCAAAGGGCCAUCAAAAGGGCCAAACAUAGCCUUUUGGCUAGCCUGGGCCAAACCAAAUUGUGGUCCCAAAUGAAAUUAAAAAAACUAAAAGUAUGCAUAUUAGUUGAUUGAUGAAUACUCAAAUUAUAACAAUUGUCAACUUUCUAUUGGAUUAUUUCAUUCUCAUCUCAUUACAACUGGUAAAUUCUCUCAACCCAAAAUUCAUACGGCUAAUAUCUUAUUUUAUUAAUAUAAUAGUUAAUUUAAAUAUUAGUAAUUUGGUCCAAAUUCAAAUAAUGUUAUAAUAAAAUAAAUCUAUAAGUCAGAAAUUAUAUGGUAUCUACCCGUAUGUGAUACAAUGUGACAAUAUAUUUGUAUUUAAAGUGAAAAAUAUUAAAAAGUAUAAUGUGAAAUCAUAAAAUAUUCAAAAGAGCUAAAAUUUGGCCCUCUCUUAUUAGAGAUCAUUUAGAAGUCUAUAAAUAAAAAAUAAUAUUUUUGAGGACUAAAUUAUAGCCCUGGCCCCAAUAUAGCCCUCUCCUGCUGGAGAUGGCCUAAGUGCCCCGGGGAUUGAAAUUUUUGCUGCAUUUUCUUCUGCUUCUAUCUCAACCACACCUGGAGAUAUGAGGCGUGUUAACUACAAUAUACAAUCUGGAACCUCUAUGUCUUGCCCCCAUGCUGCUGGUGUAGCUGCCUAUGUUAAAACCUUUCACCCUGAUUGGUCUCCUGCGGCCAUCAAAUCAUCUAUUAUGACCACUGGUAUUCUCUUCAUUUUAUUUGGUACAUGAAUGCAUUGCUGUAUGUUUCUGGAUUAAGCAGCUGUUGCGCGCUUAUACAUAUUUUCAUAAUGAAUCUACCAAAACUUUUUCUGCUUGUAGCUUGACCCGUGAAUGAUCCCAGCAGCAAUGUCUCCACUGGUGAAUUCGCUUAUGGAUCAGGCCAUAUCAAUCCUUUGAAAGCUAUUGACCCCGGGCUUGUGUAUGAUGCUUCCAAAGAAGAUUACAUAAAGUUUCUGUGCAUCAGCUAUGAUGAAAGCAGAGUUAGACUUGUAUCAGGAGGUAACAGCACAUGCCCUACAGGUCCUGACAAGGGCUCUCUGAAGGAUCAUAAUUACCCUUCGAUGGGAGCUAAAGUUACCGCAAUGCAACCAUUACAGUUGCAUUUAAUAGAAGAGUUAAAAAAGUUGGCAUUGCAAACUCCACUUAUGUAGCCAAAAUCUCCCCCAGUUCCAAACUUGAAAUUAAAGUGGUGCCGGAAGUUCUAUCCUUCAAGUCCUUAAAUGAGGAGAAGACUUUUAAUGUCACUGUUUCUGGAAGCAAUUUGCUAUUUGAAUCACGAGCAUCUGCUUCACUCGUUUGGUUUGACGGUACUCAUUGUCAGGACCCACCCCAAAUUUCACCCUGAAACCCGAAGUAAAUCCUGCGGGGACCACCUCAAAGGAAAGUUUACCGAAAAAUCGGUAUAACCUCCCUUGAAAAUGAACAACUCUUCCUAAUAAAAAUACAUGCAUACAUUUCAAAAGAAUCCAUCUAUAACCCUCUCCUCCUGGAGCCUUCGUGCUCCCCACAUCACAACAUCUCCCAAUUUAUUUACUAACUUUAUAGAAAAACUCAAACCAACCAUCACAAGUUCAGAGCAACUCUAUUAGAGGAGAAAUGAACUAAAAAUAUAUAAAUGAGCGGAAGCUAUACUAUUGACUAUACCUCGUCUCCAUGUACGUCCGACCUCAACUAUGCAAUCCUGCAAACUAGGCAUUUUUAAAAUGAAGGGUCCAGGGGAAAAUAUUUGAAACCGUUAGAGUGAGUGGACAAAAUGAAUUUAAUGAAAAUAUUUAUGCUUUCCCAAUUUAAAUUUCCAUAAAAAUUAUGCUGCAUGCGACAGCUCAAAAGCUCAACUCAUAAACUGGCAAUUUCAUGACUAGCUCCGGCUAGUCACCAAAUUUAAUAAAAUGAAACCUCUCAGGCUAAAGUAAUAUGUAUAAAUAUGUAUGUAUUUACACUCGUCAUAUUCCUUGUAUGAAUUUUCUUGAAAACAACAAAUAGAGAUAGAAAUUCACACAAGGCUACAACGCUUGCGUCUAACGCUCACGUCGCGCCAUAAUGGAAUUUUACCUCAUUAUGGCGGAAAAGACAGUGUUUAUAUACGCGCAUAUCCCCUAUAAAAAUUCUUAUAUUUAUAUAGGGCUACGACGAUUGCGUCUAACGCUCACGUCGCGCCAUAAUGAAAUUUUACCUCAUUAUGACCGAAAAGCACGUAUAGCUAGCUAGUAUUUAUUUAUAUACAUACUAUCCUCAUAAUAUCUACAUACAUGUCCACCGAAAAUCUCAUUUUCGGUAACUUCCAAAAUAAUGAAAAUUGUCAAUUAUAAAAGAAGCAAUAAAUAUAUGACUCCACCGAAAAUCUUAUUUUCGGUAACUUUCCAAAUAGCGAAGUUAACAAAUAAAAUAAGAGCAUUUAUUUCAAAAAAAUAACUUCGCAAAAAUAAACAAUUCCACAAAUUGAUAUUCAUCAAUAAAACAUUUGCAUGCACAUCAUUUAAAACAAAAGUCCACUCACAACUUUAGGCAUAAGCCCGACGAAAUCCAAUUUGCCACUCAAGUGAGGUCUUCUCAAAUCCUAGCACAAAAACAAUGCUUAGGACCAAACUCAAAUUUCAAAAUAAAUAAUACUUAAAUAUAUAACCUAAAACUCUUCCGCCUAAUCCACUACCCUUUCUAGGGUUAAGCUUAUCGGAUUAACGCCAAAAUCCAACCACAGCCUUAUUUCCUUUAUUUCAACAUUCUAAAACAAUAAUAAGGAAAAUCCAACGGUCGGAUUCUACCCCAUUAACCGCCAUAUUCACCAAACUUUGAAAAAAUCCCAAAACUAUCCAAAACUCCUUCAAAAAUUCCACACUUCACAUCAAUAAACUCCCCUUAAUAUUACACAUUUAAAACCCUGAAAAGCCCCCUUACAGUAGCGGCGGCCGGCGGCCGACUCCGGUGACUCCCAAUGGCUACUAAAUUUUAACAGCAUCAUCCUCUCAACAUCCCAAACAACUUUCAUAACUAUCACUAAGUCCAAUUUCAAGCCUAAAUAGGGUAAUCGAAGCCAAACAUAACAAGAAAACCCUAGGAAAUUCAAACACCCGAUUCUCCUUACCUAGCUCGAGUUAGGAUGUAUCUUUUUAGGGGUUUGCUGCUGGAAGGGAGAGCUUCAAGACGAUACCGGCAGCUUCGAUUUUGAUGGCUGGAAAAAGGAGUUCCGGCGAGAACACCUCCGCGGCACAGCCGCACCUUCCUAGCGAUUGUGCUCCCUCACGGCGGCGCGACACCGGCUGCCACCUACCUAGACUUGUAGAGAAUGCUCCCAGCUUCAAAUUGAUACCAAGCACGCCUCCUAUCUCGGUCGGACGACGGCGGACGGCGGCCGGAAAGUCCGGCAGCGGGAGAGGGAGAGAGUCGGGAGGGAGAAGAGAAGAAAGAGAGAGAAAUGGUUUGGGCUUCUACUCUCAACCGGUCCAAUACCACCAAAUAAACCCAACUCCACAAAUAAGACACCCCAAAAAUAAUACCCUAAUAAAAAUUACCUUUUACUAGCUAAAAUUUACCAUUUUUACCGUCGUCACCAUUUCCUCCUACGAAUAAUUCCUCAAAAAUAAUCGUCCCUCAAAACCCUUCUAGGGACCAAAUAAACUAUAAUCUCAUUGAUGAAGACGGUAAAAUUCUUAUUAAUACCAAGCUAGUAAAUAAGGUAAAAAUUUAAGAGUCGGGAUCUGACACUCAUAGUGUUAGAAGUCCAAUUGUUGUGUACACUGUGCCUAGAGCAUGAGUGAUGAGAUAUGCAUUGAGAUGAGUUGUGGAAAUUUGUUUGAGCUUUCAGAUAUAAUGAACAGCUCCAUGAUAAUAAUAAAGAUAAAGUGCAGCUUAUCUGUACCUGGGGAAAGGUAAAUUUCUGUGUUGAAAACUUCAUAUUACUCUUCUGGUGGAAAGAUUUAGUUAGAUAUUUAUUAUAGAUAUUUAUUGUAGCUGCCAAAUAUCAACUUUGAUUCCAUAGAAAACAUAACUGUGUUGCUUUGUAUCUCUUUGCAUUCUUGAGUAGGAAAAGUCUAAGAUGUUGCCUUUCAACAUCUUUGCAUUUUUAUAAUUCUUUCAACCACUUUUGCCUUUUCAGUCAAUAAAGAAAAGAUCUAUUUCUAUUUUUUAGAAGUCUAUUUUGCAUUAGUUUAGACUAAAACUCAUUCCGUCAAUCACUCGUUGUAUGAACCAGGCUUAUGCAAGAUCAGAAGUUAGAUAUCAGGGACAUAGUACUGCCAACUGAUCUCAUAUAUCAUUAUUACAUAUAUGGAAGGCUCAUCAUAUCAUAUGGAUCUGAAGUAUAGUUAUGAGUCAAAUAUAUAGCUUUAUUUAAUUCCAUAAAUGAAAAUUAGAAAGAAAGGGAUACAUAAUCUGAUACUUGCAGAGGUUAGAUUUUGCCAAAGUCCCAGUAUAAAGUUGUCUGUGGCUGUUUUAUUGUUCUGAGCAUUCAAUAAUGGCCAAGCAUGGAGAUUUUCUGCUUUCUUAUACUUUCCCCAUUCUCAUACUCAGUUUGAGCUUACUGUGCAAAGCCAAUGAUGAAGAUAGGAAGGUAGGAGUUCAUCUUAGUUGGUUGCAGACUUAUAACAUGAGUUUUUUCAUCCAAUCCUAAACAUCUUGAAGAAAUCGCCGUUUAAUGUUGUAGGUUCACAUUGUGUACUUGGGGUCACUUCCUAAUACAGUGUACUCACCAUCGUCUCACCACCUUGAUAUGUUACAGAAAGUUGUCCAGGGAAGGUACAUAGGUUCUACAUCUGAUGAUCUGAAUAUUUAAGAUUAAUCAUUUGUCCUUCCGGGUAAAAGGAUUUCUUUGGUGUCAUACUUUUUCUGUUGUUCUCUGCAGUGGUUCUCUUAAAAAUUACUUGAUCAGAAGCUACAAAAGGAGUUUCAAUGGAUUUGCUGCCAAGCUGACUGACCAGGAAAGAGAAAAACUUGCUUGUGAGUGCUCCUAGACAUUCAUAUGAUUAUAAAUAGAGCAAUAUGGUUUGGUACAUACAAAUAUAAGUGUAUAAACUGUACAUUAAUGCAGAUAUGAAGGAAGUAGUCUCCAUCUUUCAGAGCACAAAAUUUAAACUCCAAACAACAAGAUCUUGGGAUUUUAUGGGAUUCAAUGAGAAAAUCAACCGAAAUGUCACUACAGAGAGUGAUGUAAUCAUUGGUGUGAUUGACAGUGGAAUUUGGCCUGAAUCAGAGAGCUUUCAAGACAAAGGCUUUGGUCCGGUUCCUAAAAAGUGGAAAGGUGCUUGCAACGGAGGCAAGAAUUUCACUUGCAACAAGUAUGUAAAUGACUUUGAUCACUACAUAUUGCUUGGGUAGCUAAGCACUAGAAAAGGAGAUUGAUCAAUUAUAUGGACUGUAAAUGUUGCAGCAAACUGAUUGGAGCUCGGUAUUACUCAUCAAUACAGUCUGCAAGAGAUGAAGUUGGUCAUGGAAGCCACACUGCUUCAGUAGCAGCAGGGAAUUCUGUGAAGGAUGUAAGCUUUUACGGAUUAGCACAAGGUACUGCAAGAGGAGGAGUUCCUUCUGCAAGAAUUGCAGCAUAUCAAGUAUGUGAUUUGGAUUCGUUCUGUAGUGGACAUGAUGUGUUGACUGCUUUCGAUGAUGCCAUCGCUGAUGGAGUUGACAUUAUUACAAUUUCCAUCGGAACAGAUCUUCCAUCUGAUUUUUAUAAGGAUCCUAUUGCAAUUGGUUCUUUUCAUGCAAUGGCAAAAGGGAUACUGACCUCCAACUCUGCUGGCAAUGAAGGCCCUGCAGGAGAUACCGUGUCAAGUGCAGCACCAUGGACACUUACCGUUGCAGCAAGUAGAAUUGAUCGUCGCAUCAUUGACAAGGUUGUUCUUGGAAAUGGAAGCAUAAUAGUAGUACGUGUCUCUGACUUCCUCUACCCUUAAUAAAAACUUCACAGCAUACUUAUUCUAGAUUUUUUGUCGAAAUAGCUAAUUGUCUUUGCAUACACACAGGGGACUUCAGUUAACACUUUCACGUUAAAUGGAACAAAUUUUCCUCUGAUAUAUGGACAAGAUGCUUCACGUCAUGAAUGCUCGGAUUCCCAAGCUGGGUGAUGGUUCCACCCUAAGUCAUAUGUAAACAAUGUUGUAAAGGAAAUAAUAAUAAGUUAAAGUAUUGAUUUCUUGCACCUCAGGUAUUGUGAUGAAGACUGCCUUGACAGUGAUGCAGUUAAGGGAAAGAUUGUGCUAUGUGAUGCAUUCGAUGAAUCAGAUGUUGUAGCUCUUAAAGCUGGUGCACUAGGCUCUAUUUUAAAUAAUGAUGGAACUGGUGAUUUUUCUAAUGUUCUCUCAUUACCUGCAAUAGCUUUAAGCCAUGAAAACUAUAUUGCAGUGAAGUUUUACAUGAACUCCACUAGGUAUGGUAUCAUUUGGAUAUUUGAUCAUAAUCUGGUUGUCUCAUGGUGUUUUCCUGAAAUGAUUUACUCUAGACUUUUGUUCAUAGAGAUCCUCGAGCAAACAUAUUAAGAAGUGAAGUCAUAAAUGACGCUGCUGCACCAAUUGUCGCUUCCUUCUCUUCACGUGGACCGAAUCCAAUUACACCUGACAUCAUAAAGGUAGAUGCUUAUCGUUCAUAGAUAUGCAUGAUAACAGCCAUUUUUCUUAUACUUCAUGCUUUAAUGUGUUUCAGCCGGAUCUAUCUGCGCCUGGUGUAGACAUCUUGGCUGCAUAUUCGCCUGUGGCCUCAAUCUCAGUGAGCCCCGAAGACAAGAGGCAUGUAAAGUACCAUAUAUUAUCUGGAACCUCCAUGUCUUGCCCUCAUGCUGCUGCUGUUGCUGCAUAUGUUAAAUCAUUCCAUCCCGAUUGGUCUCCAUCCGCUAUAAAAUCAUCUCUUAUGACUACUGGUAUUGUGUUAAAAAUUCUUCUCCUCCUAUCAUGCCCCAAUCUCUUCCUCAAUAUCUGCCUAAUUGAUUUCAUUCACAAUUACUAUGUAUCUUUGCAUUCAAUACAUAUCAUAGGUAUUAUAGUCGUAAUUGUCAUAUAGUACUAGCUACUUUUUGUAAUAGUUUCUCGAGUGAAUUACACUAGAUCAUUCUGAAAGUUAACCGCAUAUAGUCACAUGUCCAAAUCUUUCUCAUGCCUGCAGCUUGGCCAAUGAAUAAUACCAACAAUGCGCCUGCUGAGUUUGCUUAUGGAUCCGGACAUAUCAAUCCUGUAAAAGCUGUAGAUCCCGGGCUUGUUUAUGAAACAUCUAAAGAAGAUUUCAUUAAACUACUUUGCAUGGAGUAUGAUGAAGCCAAAGUGAGACUGAUAUCAGGAGAUAACAGCUCUUGCCCUACAGGUUCUGAUAAAGGAUCACCAAAGGAUCUUAACUACCCUUCAAUGGCUGCAGCGAAUAUUACACCGAAGAAACCUUUUACAAUAAACUUCCACAGAACAGUUAAAAAUGUUGGCCUUGCAAACUCUACUUACAGCGCCAGCAUCGUCCAAAAUUCCAAAGAGGUUGAUAUCAAAGUCACGCCUGAUAUUCUUUCCUUCAAGUCCUUGAACGAGGAGAAGAGCUUUGAUGUGACUGUUGUUGGAAAAGGUUUGAUAGGCGGAUCACUAAUUAUUUCUUCGUCAUUGAUUUGGUCUGAUAAUAAUCAUAGCGUGAGAAGUCCAAUUGUAGUGCGUAGUGAAAUAGCUUAAUACUAGUUCAUUGCUACAUCCCUGCUGAUGCAUCUGAACUUUUUCUUAUAAACUCAUGCUAAUCAUAAUGAAAUCUUUCUUUUGGUCACUGGUAUAUACAGGAAGAAAGCAUACAUCUAUAACCUGUUGGUUCUAGUUCCAUAAAUAAUGACAUACUAUUGUCAUGAGAUCAUGUAAAUUUUUAAUAAUCUUCAAAUUAGCAAUAUGUUUAGAAAAUUUAAAAGGAUGUAAUUAUUCUUCAAUUUAUUAAUGACACUGAUAUUUAAACUAAAAAGUAAAAUCCAAAUUUCCAAACAAUGAGAGGUGAAAAGUCAGUUUUAUUUGUUUUCCUUAAUCAGCACUGGGUUGUGUUCCUUAAUCAGGAAUUUGUAAAUUUUUGGAACCUUUCAGGUAAAGAUGAUAUUCAUGCUCCAUUUUCUAUUGGUUGAAGAUUUAAAAUAUCAUACGCUUGUACAAAAGCCUACCGUCUUUGCAUUUUCACUACACAUUUGCCUAUUUCUUCUAACAAUUCAUCUUUCUUCUAUUUUGAAAUGUUUUUAGUGGUACUUCCAAUAUCUUAAUUGUUACAAAAACUAAAAAUCUCCAAAUAACUUACGGUAUUACAGCGUUCCAGUUACAUGAAUACAUAAAUGAAAUUUAAAACAAAUUCACCUAGUUAGCUCCGAAAAGACUUAGAAUCGAAAAGGUAAGAAGUUGUAUCUAUACAUACCAAGUUUUCUUACAAAUUUUCUGAAUUAUCCCCAUUUCUCAGGCGAGCCACAGCCACUUCUGUGUGACGCCGGAUACGGUCUCUUCUGCAUGAGGGCAUAUUCAUUCAUGAGUCACCAAUGGCCUUAAUCUCAUUGCACGCUCAAAACGAAUACAUUAUGACAUACACUGCAUAUACAUGAUUUGCAUCUCCACUAAAAUGGCUGACGUCCUCCACUACUUAUUCCCUUUCUUUCUUUUUCCUGUUUUAACAUAAAAAGAAAAUUAUUCCUCACUUAAGCCUCGUUAGUUUCGUGGAAAGUAAACAACAGAAAAGAAAAUUGUUUAUUUUCUGUGUUUAGGGAAGCAGAAAGAAGGGAAAUACUUUCUUGAUUAAAGGGAAAAUGUGAUGAAAAGUUGGAAGUGACAAACGGGCAAUCCCAUGACGACCCACGUCUUAACGGGCUCGGGCUUAGACCAGCCCAUUUACUCAAACGUAAGGCCCAACUCGGCCCACGACCCAAGCCCAUAACAUGUCGGGUUGGGCCUAUGAGCGGGCUGUGUUGGGCCCCUUUUUUGCCGAAAAUUGAAAUUAGUCAAGAGUUGAUAUCAUAUUACACCAAAACAAUAACAAAUGAAAACUAAUUCCACUUUCUAUUGAUCAUUUUUUUCUUCACCAACAAACUACAUAAAUAAGUGAUAUAUGAAUCAUAUGAUCAUUGUUUACAAUUAAUAAUGUUUUAGCAAAAACUUCUUACGGGUAUAGGGAAAUCAAAAUAAAUAAUUAUUAGUAUAUAUAUAAGUUUAUUGUUCACACUUAAAACUAAUUUUAUUAUUUAUAACUAUGUUUUCUUCAUAUUAUAAAAAUAUAUAUAUAUAUAUAUUAUAGAGCGGGCCGGGCCAUAUGCCUCAAUUUGUCGUGCUCGGGCCAGGCCAGGCCGGGCCUAUGAGCUUAUUUUUCUAGGCCCAGCCCGACCCAUUAGAUCUAUGUCUAUAGCAUACCUCAUCUCCAAUAAUAAGCCAUGUCAUGGCUGUGAGGUUUUUUUAAUGUCAGUCACCCAUAGGUGAUAUAUCCAAUAUUAUUGGAUUCGAGAUUAGUAAAUUCCGGGCANNNNNNNNNNNNNNNNNNNNCAUAUGCCUCAAUUUGUCGUGCUCAGGCCAGGCCAGGCCGGGCCUAUGAGCUUAUUUUUCUAGGCCCAGCCCGACCCAUUAGGAUAACGUGCUUGGACCGUGCCGGACAGUUUUUAAACAUGUUGUGCUCAUACUUAGCAGCCCGUUUGCCACCUCUAGGAAAAGUAAUUAAUUUCAAAAUCCAGAUGAACCACUUUCCUUCCUCAUUUCUCUGCCUUUAUUACUCACAAUAUAAUAUUUUAUUAUUCUAAUUACCAAUUUUUCAACAACUUUUCCGAUGACUUUUUUUGUGUUACCAAACAUCUGAAUUGAAAGUUCUUAUAUAAUUUCUUUCCCAUUUAUUUUCUCUUUUCAUGGGAAAUAACAAUCAAUUACUUUCUUUCCGACAAACCAAACGAGGUCUAAGGGAACUUGUACUGGGUUAGUUUUGGUCUUUUGGAUAACAUGUUUGGUGAGAUCUUUUACCGUCAUUUAUGUAUCCUUCUUUUGGUCAUGAUUUUUCUUCCUGUC
rnacentral:lncRNA from 1 species